rnacentral:lncRNA from 1 species
GAAUGGAAAGUCCUAAAUCAAUUAAAAUUAUCUGAUUUACUUAAAUUAUUGAAUUUUAAUCCGACCUGAUCCACUUAUUAAUAUAAUUCAUUUCUUUUAUCCAAAUUAACUUUGUUUUUCCACCUCCACCAAAGGGCAUCACCCUCUACAAGAUUUCCUCCACCACCAGCGCCGAACCACCACCUCUCCAAUCUUUCCUAACAUGAUUUAUGUGGUUAUUUUCUGAUGGAUUCAUAAUAUUUGUUUUCCUCUAUUAUCUGAUUGACAUUCCUUUCCAACAUUGCAAGUAUGCAAUUGUUUGGAACAUGACUCUUGCUAGUGUGGAUCUGAAUAAAUUCUGCUAUGCGGACUUAUAGCAGCUUACAAGAACAAGGAAAUAGCUUCCAAGAUGAAACUCCGCCUGAUGAAGGAUUCUUGGUAACAGAAGCAUGGACACACUCAAAUUUUUUGUGUAAAAAUUAUAUUCUGAGUGGCCUGUAAGAUGAUCUGUACAAUGUGUACAACAAUGUCAAAACCUCAAAAGAACUCUAGGAUGCUUUAGAAAAUAAGUACAAAACAGAAGAUGCCGGAAUGAAGAAAUUCACUGUGGUAAAAUUUCUGGACUAUAAGAUGAUAGACAGUAAGACCAUCGUCACCCAAGUUCAAGAAUUGCAGGUCAUGAUCCAUGAUCUCCUUGCUGAAGGUUAAUAUAACAGCGGGUGCUUUGCUCAAGUGGAGAGGUGGCGAAGGAGGUUUUGGAGAAGGUUGUGGGCUUUGGUGGUAGUGGUGAUGGGAAAAAUAAAGUUGAUAAUGGUAAAAGAAAGGAAAUGGGUUAUAUUAUUAAGUUGGUCGGGUAGAGUUAAAAUUGAAUCAUUUAAGUGAAAUUGAAUAAUUUAAAUUGAUUUGGGGCUUUCCAUUCAACGAGGGGUAUAUUUGUUAAGUUUAUUGAUGGCAAGAACAAAAAAUAACUUGUUUUUAAUAGUAGAGGUAAAAUUAACAAAUAAAACAAAAUUAAGGGAUAAUUUUGACCCUUUUGCCUUUAAACAAUCAAUAGAGAAUUAAUUACCUUUUUUCAAUUUUAUCUUUUAACAUUACUUAUUCUAGCAAGGCA